ensembl:snRNA U2 U2 spliceosomal RNA
AGUGUAGUAUCUGUUCUUAUCAGUUUAAUAUCUGAUAUGUUCUCUACAAGAAGAU